AGGCGUGUGGCUCAGAGGGUCUCUGUGCAUUUUCUAUGGGGUGGUGUAUUACUCUGUGAGAUAGGGUGUUGUUUUGUGUGGGGGCUAUGAGUGUUGUGUGUGGUGGUGUGUUGUUUUGUAUGGCUUUGAGGGGUUGUGUGCAUUGGUGAAGGGCUGUUUGUUCAGGUGAGGGGCUGUAUGAACGACAUGGGGUGAAGUGCGGCCUUGAGGACCUGUGUGAGGCACUGUGUGACUUUGCAGUUGUGUGGUUGUGAGUGGCUGUGUGUGGUAAUGUGUGGUUGAGGGAGGUGUGUGGUUGUAAGGGGCUGUGUGCGGUAAACUGUGGUUAUGGGGUGGUGUGUGUUUGGGAGAGGCUGUAAGAGGUGGUGUGGGGCUCUGUAGUUGUGUAGUGUAAGGGGUUGUGUGUGAUCAAGUGUAACUAUGAAGGUGGUGUGUGGCUGUGUGGGCAUGUUGUGCUAUGGAAAAAUGUGCAGCUUAUGUGUGGCUUUGAGGGUGUGUUGUUAUGUAUGGUUGAAGGGUGACACUAUGAGGUUGUUGCUCUUUGUGUUGUUUAGGGGUGUCACUGGCCGUGAGGCUGUUACUGGGGGUGUGGCUAUGGGGAUUUUGCUGUGAGGGAAGGAGUUGAGUCCCGCUGGAAGAUCAGGACGCCAGACUUCUCCUUGGGACCGGGACACUCCCGAUUCCAGGCGAAGGUCUUGAGGCGACCAUGACGUCGUCCGAGGUGGAGUGGAGGCGGAGCUGGUGACAGUGGACCUGCAGAAGAACAAUUUUGCAAAGUGGGAAAUCAAUGCAUCCACUAACACUGCUUUUUGUGCCGGCUCGUUGGAGACCAAGGGCGCUGAUGUAAUUAGGAGUUAACCUUGAAGAUUCAGAAUGGCUGGGCCAGCCUUCAAAGCGCUCAAUGACAGGCAGAUGGGUUGGCUUGAAGGAUCCAAAAUGAUAUAUAAAAUAUUAACAUGAAAAA